rnacentral:rRNA from 1 species
GAUCAUUACCUAGAGUUGUAGGCUUUGCCUACCAUCUCUUACCCAUGUCUUUUGAGUACCUUCGUUUCCUCGGCGGGUCCGCCCGCCGAUUGGACAAACUUAAACCCUUUGUAAUUGAAAUCAGCGUCUGAAAAAACAUAAUAGUUACAACUUUCAACAACGGAUCUCUUGGUUCUGGCAUCGAUGAAGAACGCAGCGAAAUGCGAUAAGUAGUGUGAAUUGCAGAAUUCAGUGAAUCAUCGAAUCUUUGAACGCACAUUGCGCCCCUUGGUAUUCCAUGGGGCAUGCCUGUUCGAGCGUCAUUUGUACCUUCAAGCUCUGCUUGGUGUUGGGUGUUUGUCUCGCCUUUGCGUGUAGACUCGCCUUAAAACAAUUGGCAGCCGGCGUAUUGAUUUCGGAGCGCAGUACAUCUCGCGCUUUGCACUCAUAACGACGACGUCCAAAAAGUACUUUUUACACUCUUGACCUCGGAUCAGGUAGGGAUACCCGCUGAACUUAAGCAUAUCAA